UCCGAAGGGUGCUAUCGUUGUUCGGAAUCACUGGGCGUAAAGCGUGCGUAGGCGGAUUGGUAAGUAAUGGGUGAAAUCCCCAGGCUCAACCAGGGAAAUGCGUAUUAAACUGAUAGUCUCGAGAUCCAAAGAGGCGAGUGGAAUUCCCAGUGUAGAGGUGAAAUGCGUAGAUAUUCGGAGGAACACCGGUGGCGAAGGCGGCGCCCUGGUUUGAUACUGACGCUGAGGUACGAAAGCGUGGGGAGCAAACAGG
rnacentral:rRNA from 1 species